GUCACCGGCAGGCUCUCCGCUGCCAGGGAGCCACCACACGAGGUUGCAGAGCGCCUGCUCGCGCCGUGGGGCCUCGCUCGGAAGGGAGGCCACUGGGAGUCACAGCGCCCGGGCCGCGCGUGUUCCAGGUCACCACGCUCGGGAUCCGGUCCUCAAGGGCUGUGUCGCCGCCGCCUGCCCCCUCCGCUGGAGGGCCGUGAACACGGGGACCCCAAGUGCUUGUGGAGCAUUUGUCACAGGAGCCAAAGACGUUCACUAAAAAGGUCUGGUCACACAUCUUCCCCUGCGACGAAGCUGGAAGGAAGGAAGAGGAGGGGUGUGAGCAGGGCUGAUGGGCUUGUCGUCCGCCUUGCUUCCGCCCCGGUGGGCGCCCAGACCUCUGCUGAGGGAGGGAGCCGCUGCCGCUCACUGUGGCCUUCCUUUAUCAUCACACCACGGCCCAGAAGCUCAGGGCGUAAGCACCUGGUGGCCCUCAGCUGGCUGCUUUGGCAGCUGGUGACCCUCCCGACAGCACCCCAGUCAGCUCCAGGCGUUCCUGAUGGAACUCACCGGGUAAUAGAUGCCAUGAUGUAAAGCUUUUAAAAACACUCCUCCCAGUACAAAAGGCCAAUAAGUAUGCAAUUAAAAGCUCAGCACAGCUGGCUGUUUGAGAAAUGAAAAUUACAAACACUGAGCUUUCAUCUUCCUUAGAAAAAUGGCUAUCAUCAAGAAAUCAUAUAAAAACAAUUGCUAUUGAGGCAUUUUGUGUGUGUGUGUGUGUGUGUGUGUGUGUGUGUAAGGAACUCUUCUACAUCCUUGGUGGGGAUAUAAACUAGUACAACUGAGACAGGAGGUAGGGUGUGGCAAAGCUGGCUGGGGAAAUAUGUGGGACCUGUCCAUGACAAGAUCCCAGGACAGCGCCAAAUAAUUCUCGGGACCCUGCAUGUGGGACUUCUCGCGAGCUCCCGCGAGAUGUGGACGGUGUAAGAGGAGCUGCCGCAGGAGCCUGCUGUCAGGGCUGCUCACAGUAUCAUGGCUGCACAGAGCGUACCUUACAUUUUGCUUUUCUCCUUCCUCUUUUGUUCAGCCCAAAUUGCCCCACAGAGCUGGUUCUUUCCUUACCACGUCACCCCUCACCUUUCAAAUACACUUUUGGCACUGUUUUUGGCUUGUUUUGUCCAAUUCUUUGUUCGAGGAAAGAAGUACCUGGAAUACUUUUAAUUGGCAAGCCACUUCUAAAGCAACCGCCCGACAACAUUUUGGCAUAAUCAGCCAGGAGAUAACACAACCACUCUGCAAAUCAGUGUGGAGAUUCCUCCAAAAGCCAAAUCUGGAAAUCCCAUUUGACUCAGCUAUUCCCCUUCAUGUAUGUUUUUGAAAGAGUAAAGACAUCAUAUUACAGUGACAUAUGCAUCCCCAUGUUUAAGGCAACUCAAUUCAUAAUAGUUAAAUCUCAGAAGCAGCAAACAGAUGAAUGGGUGAAGAAAAUGUGGUAUUUACAGACAGAGGAAUGCUGCUCUGCCAUGGGCUAAGCGCGAGUCAUUUGUGGAAAAUGGAUCCACCUGGAGAUCACCAUGUUAAGUGAAUCAGGUGCACAUGCUUAAGUGCUGCGUGGUUUCUCUCACAUGGCAAACCAAACACACGCUGGAGUCAUCUGUAGGAAGAUGGAUGCACUCUGAGACCCCAAUGUGAGCUGAAAUAAAUGGGAUGCACAA